rnacentral:rRNA from 1 species
GAUGAACGCUGGCGGCGUGCCUAAUACAUGCAAGUCGAGCGAACGGACGAGAAGCUUGCUUCUCUGAUGUUAGCGGCGGACGGGUGAGUAACACGUGUAUAACCUACCUAUAAUACUGGGAUAACUUCGGGAAACCGGAGCUAAUACCGGAUAAUAUUUUGAACCGCAUGGUUCAAAAGUGAAAGACGGUCUUGCUGUCACUUAUAGAUGCAUCCGCGCUGCAUUAGCUAGUUGGUAAGGUAACGGCUUACCAAGGCAACGAUGCAUAGCCGACCUGAGAGGGUGGUCGCCGACAUUGGAAGUGGAACACGGUCCAGGCUCCUACGGGAGGCAGCAGUAGGGAACGUUCCGCAGUGGGCGAGAGCCUGACGGAGCAACGCCGCGUGAGAGAUGAAGGUCUUCGGAUCGUAAAACUCUGUUAUUAGGGAAGAACAUAUGUGUAAGUAGCUGUGCACAUCUUGACGGUACCGAAUCAGAAAGCAACGGCUAACUACGUG